UACAGAGGUCUCAAGCGUUGUUCGGAUUCAUUGGGCGUAAAGGGUGCGUAGGCGGCGUGGUAAGUCAGGUGUGAAAUCCCGGAGCUUAACUCCGGAACUGCACUUGAUACUGCCUUGCUUGAGGACUGGAGAGGAGAUCGGAAUUCACGGUGUAGCAGUGAAAUGCGUAGAUAUCGUGAGGAAGGCCAGUGGCGAAGGCGGAUCUCUGGACAGUUCCUGACGCUGAGGCACGAAGGCCAGGGGAGCAAACGGG
rnacentral:rRNA from 1 species